rnacentral:rRNA from 1 species
UACGUAGGGUGCAAGCGUUGUCCGGAAUUAUUGGGCGUAAAGAGCUCGUAGGCGGUUUGUCGCGUCGGCUGUGAAAACUCGGGGGCUCAACCCCGAGCCUGCAGUCGAUACGGGCAGACUAGAGUGCUGUAGGGGAGACUGGAAUUCCUGGUGUAGCGGUGAAAUGCGCAGAUAUCAGGAGGAACACCGGUGGCGAAGGCGGGUCUCUGGGCCGUAACUGACGCUGAGGAGCGAAAGCGUGGGGAGCAAACAGG